ensembl:lncRNA
GGGGGUCCUCAGCACAAGGGGAGAUGCUGGAAGAAGAUGAGGUGGAGAAAAGGAUUUCAUGAGCUCGGAAGGUUUCACUGUAUUCAGACGUAAAGAGAUGGAGAAUUACCUUCAUGAAUUAAACAACAUCUUUGUCUUCAGAGUAAGCUGUGGCUCGGAAGAGAAGGAUGGGGGAAAAAUGGAAAGAGAUCUCUGAGCGUUUAGAAGACGUGUUUCCUGUGUAGCAGCAGACCAGGCAGUAAGAGUUGGGUUAGCUCUUAAGAUCCGAAUGCUUACCUGUGAACAAGGGCACAAGGAGGGGAAUUGGUUUUCUUCUGGUGCAACCAUCAGCAACAUUCAGUAUGGGCAGUUUCAGUCCGAGAGCCA